CUCCUGAGAAGAUUGGCAGCUGUCUUGAAUGUUUUCAACUUUUAAAUAAUCUUUCUCAUUGUAGAAUGAUAGACUUUACAUUGGUUGGAGAUGACCUUAUAAUCCUUCCCAGUUUCAUGGGCACUUGCUUCUCUAAGAGCAUUGUGUGGUCUUUCCUCCUUGACGUUGUGAUAAAACAUACCUGAAUGCUCCAGACCAGCAAACUGCUAAAACCUCAGCUUUUAUACAGGUGGGCACACUUGCUGAUGAUCAAUUAAGCAAGAGCAUUUGAUUAGAAGUCCCUGUCUGCUACUUACCCUCUUAAUUCCAGUAAGGGUGUACUUAGUUUUUCACACAUGAUUUCUCCAUUUUGGCUUUAUUUCUGUUAAAUAAAUCAUGACACGGUGUAAUAUGUCAUGUGUUGUUGUUCAUCUGAGGUUGUAUUUACCUAAUUUUAA